rnacentral:rRNA from 1 species
CCUACGGGCGGCAGCAGUGGGGAAUAUUGGACAAUGGGGGGAACCCUGAUCCAGCCAUGCCGCGUGUGUGAAGAAGGCCCUCGGGUUGUAAAGCACUUUCAGUGAGGAAGAACGCCUGGUGGUUAAUACCCAUCAGGAAAGACAUCACUCACAGAAGAAGCACCGGCUAACUCCGUGCCAGCAGCCGCGGUAAUACGGAGGGUGCGAGCGUUAAUCGGAAUUACUGGGCGUAAAGCGCGCGUAGGUGGCUUGAUAAGCCGGUUGUGAAAGCCCCGGGCUCAACCUGGAACGGCAUCCGGAACUGUCAAGCUAGAGUGCAGGAGAGGAAGGUAGAAUUCCCGGUGUAGCGGUGAAAUGCGUAGAGAUCGGGAGGAAUACCAGUGGCGAAGGCGGCCUUCUGGACUGACACUGACACUGAGGUGCGAAAGCGUGGGUAGCAAACAGGAUUAGAUACCCUUGUAGUC